ensembl:lncRNA
CCCAGUUCAUGUGGCUUGCUUAACUGCAGCGCCUUUCACACUGCCACAGUCUUAUCUCCAGAUCUGUGUCCAUGACGAGGACAGCAGGCCCACGGGCCCACCAGCCCAAAAAGGUGGGGAAAGCGGGAAAGGGAACAAAAGGGAAUGAGGGGGGGAAAAAAAAAGUGUCAACGGUCUGAGGAGGAAAACAAACCUAGUUUAAAAUUAUAAUAGUGAAAAUACAAGUCAGUUGGGAUUGAAGCUAAUACAUCACAUAGAUGAGUUUCUGAAGACCGAGGUUCUUCCUCUGAUCUGCCAGGGAGCAAAGAGAACUACUCUCAUGACUUCCACUCAGAUUUAUCUUUCCCACCAACCGGAAAACAGAAAUGCAACAGGGAAGUCUUCUGGGGGCUGUCGUACAUUUCAUCCCUUCUGAGACAGGUAAACGGAACUGUCGACAAUCCACAGAACUGCAGCAUUAACUUUCCAACUCCCAGUGCACUGCAUGAAGCUAUCACGUGGAGAACCGAUAACAAAAACCGUAACAUCACGACACACACGCAUGGAUAAACUGUGCAAUACUAUCCACUAAGCACACUGCCAGGGGUCCGGCGUAGGGGGUGGAGGUCACUGUCCU